CCAAUUCCAUUAGGGGUUGAAAAAAUCUACCAAGAACAUGAUAAACCAGUAGCAAGACUCCUGAUAGAUUGUCAGAAAAAAAUUGCAAGAGGAGGUCGAUCGUAGAUCUUGGCGAGAGAGAUGAUGCUCACCUUGGAGAGGUCAUGGAGAUCCAUGCCAGCGCCAGCGCCAUGGCAGCAGCGGAGGGGUGCGACGGGGCGGCAUGGUUUGGGGGUAGACGAGAGGGCUCUUGCCAUCGGCGGCGACGGAGGCAGUGACCGGGAGAGAGCUAGCUAUUCAUGGCGGUGGCGAACAAGAAACAUGACAAAAAUCGGCAGAACCUCAGAGAAGUCACUCAGAAUCCCUCCAGGUCUGCAACAUCUUGAUGAACUUGAGUUGCGGUGUCGUCGAUGACCCUGACAGGACUUGCUAAUCACUAAAUCCUGCAUAACUAAUAAAUGUAAUUAAACUAUCGUGGUUUUAAUGAUUUCUUGUUGAACUCGGAUUCUUCUAGAUAAGUUUUUCAUUGGCUGAUUGUGAUCUUUCUAAAAACGUGUCCCCUGAAUAAUCUUACCAAAAUUUAGCGUUAUCAAUGUUUUAUUUACACUUUGUAAAUACAUAUUAAUACAAUACAAU
rnacentral:lncRNA from 1 species